rnacentral:rRNA from 1 species
AUGGAUCCAUGUGUCUACAUACAUAGAUUCUGUUCAUGGAUUAACGAAAAUGUGCAAGAGCUCUAUUUGCCUCUGCCAUUCUAUGAGUCGCUUCCUUUUUGCGUAUGGCACCCCCACUCCCUUGGGCAGCAUCUACUAAUUCGGAACUUAAUUUGA